GGUCCCCUUCCUGCACAGAUAGUAGCAGUUCCAUUUUAAUGAUUAUGCAACAGAAAAAGAGUAAGGAACUAUACCCUUGAAUUUUUAAUGUCGAUGUUUUAGAUCUUUGAGGAUUUGGAAGAAAUUUUUGAUGGAGAAGAGGCUAUCUGGAUUUCAUCAAUGGUGUGAAUACUUUAUUUACUUUGAAGAGAGGGAAAGAAAUAUGGAGAUUCAGUUGCUUUUGAAAGGGAAAUUACCUCCAUACACCAGCAAAGGUACGUAGCCCCAUAAAGAUGGUUAGAGCAACCCAUAUUCCAAUAAAACCACCAGUUUUAGAGAGAAUGAAAAUGGUUGCAAUGCUUGCUAUAGCUACAAGGACCUGGAAAACACAAGGAAUUGGACAAGAAAAUUUCAAUUAGAAAAGAAUUAAUAUUUGGACAGACUUGUAAAAGUCUCAUACACAUUCUGCUUUGUAAAUGGUAUGAAAAAGGGCCAAUAUACUAACCAUGGAAUAUGCAGAAUAUGCAAAAUCAGAUGCUCCAAAGUUCACACCAUCAAAAACAAAGGCUAUUGAGUUGAUAGGUUGUGUAGCUGCAACGAACUGUUGGAGAGAUACAAAGGAAAAUUCAGUUCAAGUUAUUGAUACCCAAAUAGACCUAUUAGCUUUAGCUUAUUGAUAUUGCAAUCACAUUUAGUGUUGUAAAGACUUGAGUUUGAGUAUCAAUGAACUAAAAAAGAGGAAUUCUGAGAAA